UCCUACGGGAGGCAGCAGUGGGGAAUUUUGGACAAUGGGGGCAACCCUGAUCCAGCCAUGCCGCGUGAGUGAAGAAGGCCUUCGGGUUGUAAAGCUCUUUCGGCCGGGAAGAAAUCGCGCAGGCUAAUACCCUGUGUGGAUGACGGUACCGGAAUAAGAAGCACCGGCUAACUACGUGCCAGCAGCCGCGGUAAUACGUAGGGUGCGAGCGUUAAUCGGAAUUACUGGGCGUAAAGCGUGCGCAGGCGGUUUCGUAAGACAGAGGUGAAAUCCCCGGGCUCAACCUGGGAACUGCCUUUGUGACUGCGAGGCUAGAGUACGGCAGAGGGGGGUGGAAUUCCACGUGUAGCAGUGAAAUGCGUAGAGAUGUGGAGGAACACCGAUGGCGAAGGCAGCCCCCUGGGCCGAUACUGACGCUCAUGCACGAAAGCGUGGGUAGCAAACAGGAUUAGAUACCCUGGUAGUCCACGCCCUAAACGAUGUCAACUAGGUGUUGGGUGGGUAAAACCAUUUAGUACCGUAGCUAACGCGUGAAGUUGACCGCCUGGGGAGUACGGCCGCAAGGUUAAAACUCAAAGGAAUUGACGGA
rnacentral:rRNA from 1 species